UUCCUUUUUUUCCUUUUUU
rnacentral:sRNA from 1 species